AUAAUUGUAGCUUUUGAAACUCAACGAAGCAUUCGGGUUCUCCCAGGACAAAGCUAGCCCAUUGCACUUCGGGUGUGCUGAAGCUUGCAAUGUCCCCAAAUGCGGGAUACGCGACUGCAAAAUUUGUGGUAGUGGGGGACUGUGUUUGCGCUCUCCCCUG